CUUGCUGUGAUGACAGAAUGGGAUCCAGCACUUAGCAUGGUGUCUAAUAGAGUGGGCAGAGAAUACCUACUCAUGCCACCCCAGUCCUGGUCCUGCUCACAACCCGCUUCCUGAGCUGGCCUCCACCUCGUCCAUCAUGAGGUGGAGAGAGGAGGACGCCGCCAGGCCAGCCAGCGGACCUGCCAGGGAAGCAGACAGCAGCAGCAUCCUUGUGACAAAGCUGAACUGCUCCUUCAGCAGUCACGGGGACCAGGCGCUGCUCCCGCCCCAGAGAUGAGCGGCCUGCCUGUGACCAGAGGCCUCUUCUGGAAGGGCACUGUAUCCUGCCUUCAGCUUUUCUCCCUGGCCCUGUCCGCUUCACCUCCCGACACACACACACGCGC